rnacentral:rRNA from 1 species
ACUCCUACGGGAGGCAGCAGUGGGGAAUUUUGGACAAUGGGCGCAAGCCUGAUCCAGCCAUUCCGCGUGAGUGAAGAAGGCCUUCGGGUUGUAAAGCUCUUUCGCAAGGGAAGAAAACUUACUUUCUAAUAAAGAGUGAGGCUGACGGUACCUUGAUAAGAAGCACCGGCUAACUACGUGCCAGCAGUCGCGGUAAUACGUAGGGUGCGAGCGUUAAUCGGAAUUACUGGGCGUAAAGCGUGCGCAGGCGGUUUGGCAAGUCAGAUGUGAAAUCCCCGAGCUCAACUUGGGAACUGCGUUUGAAACUGCCAGACUAGAAUAUGUCAGAGGGGGGUAGAAUUCCACGUGUAGCAGUGAAAUGCGUAGAGAUGUGGAGGAAUACCAAUGGCGAAGGCAGCCCCCUGGGAUAAUAUUGACGCUCAUGCACGAAAGCGUAGGGAGCAAACAGGAUUAGAUACCCUGGUAGUCCACGCCCUAAACGAUGUCUACUAGUUGUUGGUGGAGUAAAAUCCAUGAGUAACGCAGCUAACGCGUGAAGUAGACCGCCUGGGGAGUACGGUCGCAAGAUUAAAACUAAAAGGAAUUGACGG